rnacentral:rRNA from 1 species
AUUGAACGCUGGCGGCAUGCCUUACACAUGCAAGUCGAACGGCAGCGGGGGAGAAGCUUGCUUUUCCUGCCGGCGAGUGGCGAACGGGUGAGUAAUACAUCGGAACGUGCCCUGUAGUGGGGGAUAACUAGUCGAAAGAUUAGCUAAUACCGCAUACAACCUGAGGGUGAAAGUGGGGGACCGCAAGGCCUCAUGCUAUAGGAGCGGCCGAUGUCUGAUUAGCUAGUUGGUGGGGUAAAGGCCUACCAAGGCGACGAUCAGUAGCUGGUCUGAGAGGACGAUCAGCCACACUGGGACUGAGACACGGCCCAGACUCCUACGGGAGGCAGCAGUGGGGAAUUUUGGACAAUGGGCGAAAGCCUGAUCCAGCAAUGCCGCGUGUGUGAAGAAGGCCUUCGGGUUGUAAAGCACUUUUGUCCGGAAAGAAAUGGCUCUGGUUAACACCUGGGGUCGAUGACGGUACCGGAAGAAUAAGGACCGGCUAACUACGUGCCAGCCGCCGCGGUAA